AUUGAACGCUGGCGGCAGGCCUAACACAUGCAAGUCGAGCGGAUGAAGGGAGCUUGCUCCUGGAUUCAGCGGCGGACGGGUGAGUAAUGCCUAGGAAUCUGCCUGGUAGUGGGGGAUAACGUCCGGAAACGGGCGCUAAUACCGCAUACGUCCUGAGGGAGAAAGUGGGGGAUCUUCGGACCUCACGCUAUCAGAUGAGCCUAGGUCGGAUUAGCUAGUUGGUGGGGUGAAGGCCUACCAAGGCGACGAUCCGUAACUGGUCUGAGAGGAUGAUCAGUCACACUGGAACUGAGACACGGUCCAGACUCCUACGGGAGGCAGCAGUGGGGAAUAUUGGACAAUGGGCGAAAGCCUGAUCCAGCCAUGCCGCGUGUGUGAAGAAGGUCUUCGGAUUGUAAAGCACUUUAAGUUGGGAGGAAGGGCAGUAAGUUAAUACCUUGCUGUUCUGACGUUACCAACAGAAUAAGCACCGGCUAACUUCGUG
rnacentral:rRNA from 1 species